AUACUUACCUGGACGGGGUCAAUGGAUGAUCAUGAAUAUCUAUAGCUUGGGGUAGUGACUUUCAUUGCACCUGGAAAGGAUGCUUCUCUAAGGUCUGUUCAAGUAACAAAUCCUACGUCAUAAUUUGUGGCAUGGGGCUUGCGUUUGCGCAACUCUUCC
rnacentral:snRNA from 1 species